AUGUGUGCAUGCACCUUCCUUUUUGUAGAUUGCACAAUUCUGCUGCAAUCAGAAAUUGUAGUCGAUAAUAACCCCUCCAAGAGUGUAAAUACCAAAGAGCAGAUUAUUUCUAUUACAGCUGAGAAAACAAGUGCUACUGAUGCGCGUGGCUCUACCUCCUUAGAGUCACCAAAAGGUUCACAGGAGAAGGCUAAUUUUUUGGGAAAAGGUGGAGAACAGCCUUAUGUCUACCAGACCAAUGUGUAUGCACCACAGCCACAGACAGUCUAUUCUGGAGGAUAUAUCAAUCCUUCAGGGCAAUGGGAAGAGUAUCCCUAUUAUGUGAGUAUGGAAGGACUCCAUUCUGCGUCACCUUCAAUCAUGCUAUCUCCUGGGUAUGCGAACAACCCCCAAAUGAUGUAUGGAGCUUAUUCUCCUGUUGCAACUGUUGGAGAGGGCCAGUCCUAUUCCCCUAUGCACUUCCCCUUCUCAAGUCCUUACUAUCAGCCACCGGCUUCUCUUAGUAUGGGAUACUCAAAUUCUAGUACUGGAAUGUCUCAAGGAGACCCUAUGCUUCAGCAAGAGUACUUCCUUCCUGAUGGUCUUCUCUAUUCACCCACAACAGUGUACCACCAACCAUUUGAGUCAUACAACAGAGAUUGGUCAGAGCCAUUUCAAACUAAUUGUGAGUUUCUUCCGCAGCGGCAACACAACCAAGCAAUGCUCCGGGAUUAUUUGGGCAAGGGAAUGCACCAUUGGUUUCUGGAAUGUAUUGACUAUGCAUGUUAUUUGCAGCAGCAUGGAUCAAUGUAUAAUUCUGGAUCCUACAAGGCACGCCAACAAGCUAGUAAAUAUGGAGGCAUUACUCCUAAUUGGGGUUCUGCUGGUCGUAGAUUUAAUAAUUUCGACUACAACUCCAGUCAACAAAGGGUGAGCAUGCCAUUCAAUAUCCAGAAUGGUGCGCUGGAGUUUCUGAAUGAGCAAAACCGUGGCCCACGUGCUGCAAAACCAAAGAAACAAGACAGAGACAAUUCUUUAGUAGAUGACAAAAGCGAGAAAACCACUCAACUUAUUGACAGUGAACUGUACAAUUGUCCUGAUUUUGCCACGGAGUACAAGGAUGCGAUUUUUUUUGUAAUUAAAUCAUACACGGAGGACCAUGUACAUAGGAGCAUUAAGUACAAUGUUUGGGCCAGCACAGCUAGUGGCAAUAGAAAGCUGGAUUCAGCUUAUCGUGCGGCCAAACAGAAAGAAGACCAUUGCCGUGUUUUCUUGUUCUUCUCGGUUAAUGGCAGUGGUCAGUUCUGUGGUGUUGCUGAGAUGAUUGGACCUGUUGACUUCGACAGAAGUGUUGAUUAUUGGCAGCAAGACAAGUGGAGUGGCCAGUUUCCUGUGAAGUGGCACAUUAUUAAGGAUGUCCCAAACACCCUACUCCGGCACAUUACUCUUGAGAAUAAUGACAACAAACCUGUAACAAAUAGCAGGGACACCCAGGAGGUCAAGCUAGAGUAUGGUCUCCAGAUGCUAAGCAUAUUCAAGAAUCAUGAGGCCGAGACAAGCAUUGUGGAGGACUUCGACUUCUAUGAGCAACGGGAGAAAGCCUUGAAGGAAAAUAGACGUCAGCAGCAGCCUGGCAGCGCAGAGUCCCUGAAGCCAACAGACGCUAAGGCUGUAGGGAAUUCUGUUACUCAUAUCGCGGACUCAUUUUCUCGGAGUGUCCAGCUGAAAGAAAUUGAGAAAAGUGAUAACAAACUGACAGCUGAUGGUGCCAUCUCAGUGAAUGAUGCACAGACAGCUACCGUCAAGGCCGAAGAAAGCAACGCAAACAAAACUAAAGGUCCUGUGGAGGAGAGCAGUUGA
rnacentral:rRNA from 1 species